AUUGAACGCUGGCGGCAUGCCUUACACAUGCAAGUCGAACGGCAGCACGGGAGCAAUCCUGGUGGCGAGUGGCGAACGGGUGAGUAAUAUAUCGGAACGUGCCCGGUCGUGGGGGAUAACGUAGCGAAAGCUACGCUAAUACCGCAUACGAUCUACGGAUGAAAGCGGGGGAUCGCAAGACCUCGCGCGAUUGGAGCGGCCGAUAUCAGAUUAGGUAGUUGGUGAGGUAAAGGCUCACCAAGCCGACGAUCUGUAGCUGGUCUGAGAGGACGACCAGCCACGACUGGGACUGAGACACGGCCCAGACUCCUACGGGAGGCAGCAGUGGGGAAUUUUGGGACAAUGGGCGCAAGCCU
rnacentral:rRNA from 1 species